UUAAGCAAUCUAUACGGUGAAACUGCGAAUGGCUCAUUAAAUCAGUUAUCGUUUAUUUGAUAGUACCUUACUACUUGGAUAACCGUGGUAAUUCUAGAGCUAAUACAUGCUAAAAACCUCGACUUCGGAAGGGGUGUAUUUAUUAGAUAAAAAACCAAUGCCCUCCGGGGCUCCUUGGUGAUUCAUGAUAACUCGACGAAUCGCAUGGCCUUGCGCCGGCGAUGGUUCAUUCAAAUUUCUGCCCUAUCAACUUUCGAUGGUAGGAUAGUGGCCUACCAUGGUUUCAACGGGUAACGGGGAAUUAGGGUUCUAUUCCGGAGAGGGAGCCUGAGAAACGGCUACCACAUCCAAGGAAGGCAGCAGGCGCGCAAAUUACCCAAUCCCGACACGGGGAGGUAGUGACAAUAAAUACUGAUGCGGAGCUCUUUAGGGUUUCGCAAUUGGAAUGAGUACAAUUUAAAUCCCUUAACGAGGAACAAUUGGAGGGCAAGUCUGGUGCCAGCAGCCGCGGUAAUUCCAGCUCCAAUAGCGUAUAUUAAAGUUGUUGCAGUUAAAAAGCUCGUAGUUGAACCUUGGGCCUGGCUGGCCGGUCCGCCUCACCGCGUGCACUGGUCCGGCCGGGCCUUUCCUUCCGGGGAGCCGCAUGCCCUUCACUGGGUGUGCCGGGGAACCGGGACUUUUACUUUGAAAAAAUUAGAGUGUUCAAAGCAGGCAUAUGCUCGGAUACAUUAGCAUGGAAUAAUGGAAUAGGACGUGUGGUUCUAUUUUGUUGGUUUCUAGGACCGCCGUAAUG
rnacentral:rRNA from 1 species